rnacentral:rRNA from 1 species
AUACGGAGGAUCCGAGCGUUAUCCGGAUUUAUUGGGUUUAAAGGGUGCGCAGGCGGCCAUUUAAGUCAGCGGUUAAAUCGUGGGGCUCAACCCCAUUCUGCCGUUGAUACUGGGUGGCUUGAUUGCGGUCGAGGUUGGCGGAAUUCGUUGUGUAGCGGUGAAAUGCAUAGAUACGACGAAGAACACCGAUUGCGUAGGCAGCUGACCAGACCGCAAAUGACGCUCAUGCACGAAAGUGCGGGGAUCGAACAGGAUUAGAUACCCUGGUAGUCCGCACAGUAAACGAUGAAUACUUGUUUUCGGCGAUAUAAUGUCGGAGGCAAAGCGAAAGCGAUAAGUAUUCCACCUGGGGAGUACGCCGGCAACGGUGAAACUCAAAGGAAUUGGCGGGG